GAUGAACGCUCGCUACAGGCUUAACACAUGCAAGUCGCGGGGCAGCAUGGGGGUUGCUUGCAAUCCCCGAUGGCGACCGGCGCACGGGUGAGUAACGCGUAUCCAACCUGCCCUUCACCACGGGAUAACCCGGCGAAAGUCGGACUAAUACCGUAUGUUGUCCAUUGACGGCCUCCGAUUUGGACGAAAGGCUUGGCGGUGAGGGAUGGGGAUGCGUCCGAUUAGCCAGACGGCGGGGUAACGGCCCACCGUGGCUACGAUCGGUAGGGGUUCUGAGAGGAAGGUCCCCCACACUGGAACUGAGACACGGUCCAGACUACUACGGGAGGCAGCAGUGAGGAAUAUUGGUCAAUGGGCGUAAGCCUGAACCAGCCAAGUAGCGUGCAGGAUGACGGCCCUAUGGGUGGUAAACUGCUUUUAUGCGGGGAUAAAGUGGCCCACGUGUGGGCUUUUGCAGGUACCGCAUGAAUAAGGACCGGCUAAUUCCGUG
rnacentral:rRNA from 1 species